ACGGGAGGCAGCAGUGGGGAAUAUUGGGCAAUGGGCGAAAGCCUGACCCAGCAACGCCGCGUGAAGGAAGAAGGCCUUCGGGUUGUAAACUUCUUUUACCAGGGACGAAGGACGUGACGGUACCUGGAGAAAAAGCAACGGCUAACUACGUGCCAGCAGCCGCGGUAAUACGUAGGUUGCAAGCGUUGUCCGGAUUUACUGGGUGUAAAGGGCGUGUAGGCGGAGCUGCAAGUCAGAUGUGAAAUCCCGGGGCUCAACCCCGGAACUGCAUUUGAAACUGUAGCCCUUGAGUAUCGGAGAGGCAAGCGGAAUUCCUAGUGUAGCGGUGAAAUGCGUAGAUAUUAGGAGGAACACCAGUGGCGAAGGCGGCUUGCUGGACGACAACUGACGCUGAGGCGCGAAAGCGUGGGGAGCAAACAGGAUUAGAUACCCUGGUA
rnacentral:rRNA from 2 species